UAGGACCAGACAUCAUUCUUCCCUGUUCCU
rnacentral:piRNA from 1 species